rnacentral:tmRNA from 2 species
GGGGAUGUAUUUGGCUUCGAUAGAGGAUUUUAGAUAAGUUCUUUAAUCUCGGCGGUAGUAUCGGUCCCGUCGUAUCCAAAGUUCGAUACAAAAUCUAAAUGCAAACGAAAGUUUAGCAGCGUUCGUCUAUGGCAACCGAGUUGCCGUAGCGGCGUAAGUGUUCUCGGAUUAAUUUCUGAAAACCCGUUUUCCGAGGCAAGGCCUCAUAGUCGCGGCAAAACGUUAUUUUUGAGGAUCGAUCGUUGGGCUUGGAGUUUGGUUCAUACGAUUUAAACUUUUAAACCGGCUUGAAAGGGCUUUUCGCAAGUUCUUUAUCCUUUCUUGCCACACAUUAGAGCUUGAUAUGGAUUUAAACGGAAUUUACUAAACCUUUAGACCCGGGUUCGAGUCCCGGCAUCUCCACCA